UUCAGUAAAAACAUACUGUUCUUCCAAAACCAAAUUGUUGGUGCUGCUACUGUACAGAUGUCAGUAAUUAUAUUGCUUGAUAUUAAUAAAUAGCCUGGGUUCUUAAACACUCCCGACUGCUAUAAGUUUGCAUGUUUCCAGUGUUGGAUGUGCUGAGAAUCAUGUCUUACACAUUGGGAAACUAUUCCUGCUCUGAUUAAGCACGGUCUAGUGAUGUAAUUAGGUUUGUCAGUUUCUCCCUCAUUGUAUCUUCUACCCUCAGCUCUCCUAGUAGCUUGCCAACUUCAGCUACACUGAGACUGCAGAAGCCACUCUAGUGGUCCCAGACACUACUGAAGCUGGAAACUGAAUCAUUCAAAGACACCUAGAUUGACAGCUGACAGGUGCCAAGUGAGAAGGGAGCCAGCCAAAAGCCCCCAAAAGAGCAAAUGUAUAAUCUGGGACUUUCACAUAUGCUGAAAAACACUGCUGAACCAUCUACCCUCGACACCCCUGGACCUGCGACCUCAACCUCCACUGAUCCUGCAGUGCCUGCCCCUGC